CAGGCUCAGAUUGAACGCUGGCGGCAGGCUUAACACAUGCAAGUCGAGCGGAAACGAUGGGAGCUUGCUCCCAGGCGUCGAGCGGCGGACGGGUGAGUAACACUUAGGAAUCUACCUAGUAGUGGGGGAUAGCUCGGGGAAACUCGAAUUAAUACCGCAUACGACCUACGGGAGAAAGGGGGCAGUUUACUGCUCUCGCUAUUAGAUGAGCCUAAGUCGGAUUAGCUAGAUGGUGGGGUAAAGGCCUACCAUGGCGACGAUCUGUAGCUGGUCUGAGAGGAUGAUCAGCCACACCGGGACUGAGACACGGCCCGGACUCCUACGGGAGGCAGCAGUGGGGAAUAUUGGACAAUGGGGGGAACCCUGAUCCAGCCAUGCCGCGUGUGUGAAGAAGGCCUUUUGGUUGUAAAGCACUUUAAGCAGUGAAGAAGACCUAACGGUUAAUACCCGUUAGCGAUGACAUUAGCUGCAGAAUAAGCACCGGCUAACUCUGUGCCAGCAGCCGCGGUAAUACAGAGGGUGCAAGCGUUAAUCGGAAUUACUGGGCGUAAAGCGAGCGUAGGUGGCUUGAUAAGUCAGAUGUGAAAUCCCCGGGCUUAACCUGGGAACUGCAUCUGAUACUGUUAAGCUAGAGUAGGUGAGAGGGAAGUAGAAUUCCAGGUGUAGCGGUGAAAUGCGUAGAGAUCUGGAGGAAUACCGAUGGCGAAGGCAGCUUCCUGGCAUCAUACUGACACUGAGGCUCGAAAGCGUGGGUAGCAAACAGGAUUAGAUACCCUGGUAGUCCACGCCGUAAACGAUGUCUACUAGUCGUUGGGUCCCUUGAGGACUUAGUGACGCAGCUAACGCAAUAAGUAGA
rnacentral:rRNA from 1 species